UGGAGCAUGUGGUUUAAUUCGAAGCAACGCGAAGAACCUUACCAGGUCUUGACAUCCUUUGACCACUCUAGAGAUAGAGCUUCCCCUUCGGGGGCAAAGUGACAGGUGGUGCAUGGUUGUCGUCAGCUCGUGUCGUGAGAUGUUGGGUUAAGUCCCGCAACGAGCGCAACCCUUAUUGUUAGUUGCCAUCAUUCAGUUGGGCACUCUAGCAAGACUGCCGGUGACAAACCGGAGGAAGGUGGGGAUGACGUCAAAUCAUCAUGCCCCUUAUGACCUGGGCUACACACGUGCUACAAUGGGAAGUACAACGAGUUGCGAAGUCGCGAGGCUAAGCUAAUCUCUUAAAGCUUCUCUCAGUUCGGAUUGCAGGCUGCAACUCGCCUGCAUGAAGCCGGAAUCGCUAGUAAUCGCGGAUCAGCACGCCGCGGUGAAUACGUUCCCGGGCCUUGUACACACCGCCCGUCACACCACGAGAGUUUGUAACACCCGAAGUCGGUGAGGUAACCUUUUGGAGCCAGCCGCCUAAGGUGGGAUAGAUGAUUGGGGUGAAGUCGUAACAAGGUAGCCGUAUCGGAAGGUGCGGCUGGAUCACCUCCUUUCUAAGGAA
rnacentral:rRNA from 1 species